GGUCAUUUUAUUGGGAAGAGGGAGCAGAAGAUGAUGGAUAACAGGGCCGCCCUGGCAGUGGGGAGGUUUAUACUAGUGCCAAGCUCUUUCUCUCAGGUUCCGAUUGGAUUGCAUUAACUCCAUCACCACCCUGAACCUUUUCCAGGAUGCUGAACCCAAAGUGGGAGCAACAGGAGUAGGGUCUGGGCCUGGAGCGUGUACAGGGGAAGACCUCGUACCUCCUCGGUGUUUGUGAAGUGAAGCAGCCACAAGUUUAUUCUCCCACGUUACUUGGCACUGGCCAUCUGCAGACGGAACAGUGAAUCACGGAGACAAGUAGAACCCAUGGAGGCCACCCUGUCCACCACCGCGUUAUAUCUGGGUGUGGACCCUGGAACUCCACUGUGAGCCCAUCUCUAAAAUGGCCAUAGAAGUCUAAGAGGGAACAGUAAAAGAGGAAAGAAAAUGGACUUGGGAGCAGGAAAUUCACAUCCCAGUCCUGGUUCUCCUGCUGGAUAAAUCACCUCACCAUUCUGGUCCU